rnacentral:rRNA from 1 species
ACGGAAGGCAGCAGUGAGGAAUAUUGGUCAAUGGACGCAAGUCUGAACCAGCCAUGCCGCGUGCAGGAAUAAGGCCCUAUGGGUCGUAAACUGCUUUUGUGGUGGAGCAAUAAGUCGUACGUGUACGGCGAUGAGAGUACAUCACGAAUAAGCAUCGGCUAACUCCGUGCCAGCAGCCGUGGUAAUACGGAGGAUGCAAGCGUUAUCCGGAUUUAUUGGGUUUAAAGGGUGCGUAGGCUGUGGUCCAAGUCAGGGGUGAAAGCCCGGAGCUCAACUCCGGAACUGCCUUUGAUACUGGAUUGCUGGAAUACGGAUGCCGUGGGAGGAAUGAGUAGUGUAGCGGUGAAAUGCAUAGAUAUUACUCAGAACACCGAUUGCGAAGGCAUCUCACGAAUCCGUCAUUGACGCUGAGGCACGAAAGCGUGGGGAUCAAACAGGAUUAGAUACCCUGGUA